rnacentral:rRNA from 1 species
CCUACGGGAGGCAGCAGUGGGGGAUAUUGGACAAUGGGGGGAACCCUGAUCCAGCGACGCCGCGUGAGUGAAGAAGUAUUUCGGUAUGUAAAGCUCUGUCAGCAGGGAAGAAAGAAAUGACGGUACCUGACCAAGAAGCCCCGGCUAACUACGGGCCAGCAGCCGCGGUAAUACGUAGGGGGCAAGCGUUAUCCGGAAUUACUGGGUGUAAGGGGAGCGUAGACGGUUAAGUAGGUCUGGAGGGAAAGGCCGGGGCCUAAACCCGGGACUGCUCUGGAAACUAUCGAACUUGAGUGGAGGAGAGGUAAGCGGAAUUCGUAGUGUAGCGGUGAAAUGCAUAGAUAUUAGGAGGAACACUAGUGGCGAAGGCGGCUUACUGGACUGUAACUGACGUUGAGGCUCGAAAGCGUGGGGAGCAAACAGGAUUAGAUACCCUAGUAGUC